AAAGUUGUGUGGCUCUUUUCUUACCACGUAUCCACAUGAGGUCAUGAGGACAACAUUAUUUCAGAAAGGGAUUGUUGUGUAAGGGAACUUGUUUCAGCCAAGGCAUAACUUGUUUCAUAAAUUUUGUCCUCCUUUCCACUGCUACACCGCAAUAAGGGAGGAAAGUCUUGGUCUUCAGUGACAAAGACCGCUGAAAUCAAAGAGAACUCAAGCACGAAAUGGGGAUGGCUUCAAGGAACACCCGAUCAUGAACCACGCCUAGCUGAUGCACCCAUUUCAAGGCACCUCCUGUCGUCGGCAACAAAUAGUUUUUCAGCUUUGAACAGUUCCGGCGCUGAGAUUCACAAGUAAAGAGAGAGAGAGUCAGAGAGAAAAACCUUGAGGGAGCACCGGAGCAGGGAGGCUGAAGGUUGAGGCUGUGGCAGUGACCGUCACUGACGAGCGAUCUCCGAUGAGGGGCGACGAUGUGCUCUGGACUGCGACUGGAGCGAGGGAGGCGUUGCUCUGUUUUUAGGUCAGGGUGUUGCUGGGAACACCACACCCUGAGCAUAACGUGGCGCCACCACUGCUUGCAGCAAGCAGGUACACCUUGAAGAUGAAGAUGAAGUAGUUGGGCCAGAGUCUCUUGUAAUCCAAGAGGGUUCAGAUGGCAUUUCCCUUAAGCCAUUUUCUGACACUGAUAAAGCGCCACCAGAGGUAUCAACAAGUGGAAAGUUAGCAGAACAAGGUGACAUUAAAGGUGGGGAUAGCAAGAGCUGGCGUGGAGUGCUCUAUUUACCUUCUUAUGUGCCUUUUGGGCAGGUGUUCCACUAGAGUGGAAUCAUUCCCCUCAGUUCCGAAUUAUUCUUCAAAUUGUGAAAGGAAGCGAGAAUUACAACAAAUGCGAGUUUUGGUUGGAGCGCCAUUGAGACAACCACCAAAGCAUCAGAUAGUGACAGAUCCAUUGAUGCCUUUGUUUUCUUCUAUUGAUUCAGAUGCUGCCCAUCUCAAUCAUGAAAAUACUUCAGGUUCCUUUCGUGAUGAAAAAAUUAUUCGCCCUGAAGGUUUGAAUGAUUUUUUUGUGUUCUGCACCAGUGAUUUUGCUACUGUCUCUAAGGAGGUUCAUGUCAGAACUUGUAGGGUCGGGUUACUUGGCCUUGAGGGUGCUGGUAAAACUUCUCUUCUUAAGGAAAUACUUAGUCAAAGUAGAGUAAACACUAAUGCCAAUGUUGAGAAUAAGCUUCCUGAGAGUGAUGAUCAAGAAGGGAUUGCUGGUGGUUUAUGCUACUGUGUUUCAGCAGGGGUAAAUUUGCA